rnacentral:rRNA from 1 species
CCGAAAGGCAGGAGUGCCUGCAAGGGAGCGCGGAGACAGGUGGUGCAUGGCUGUCGUCAGCUCGUGUCGUGAGAUGUUGGGUUAAGUCCCGCAACGAGCGCAACCCUCACCUCUUGUUGCCAUCAGGUCAUGCUGGGCACUCUAGAGGAACUGCCCCGGUCAACGGGGAGGAAGGCGGGGAUGACGUCAAGUCAUCAUGCCCCUUACGUCCUGGGCUACACACGUGCUACAGUGGCCGGUACAAAGGGAUGCCACACCGCGAGGUAGAGCUAAACCCAAAAAGCCGGUCUAAGUUCGGAUUGGAGUCUGCAACUCGACUCCAUGAAGGAGGAAUCGCUAGUAAUCGCGUAUCAGCACGACGCGGUGAAUACGUUCCCGGGCCUUGUACACACCGCCCGUCACACCACGAAAGCCAG